GUGUCCGCAGCCAGGUGCGCCGGGCCAGGGCCGCUCCGCGCCGCGCUCCGCUCCGCGCCGCCACCGCCACCGCCACCGCCACCGCCACCGCCACCGCCACCGCCAGCAUGACCGUCACACGGCUCGACCAGGGACAGCGCUACCGCCCGCGCAUGGCCUUCCUCAAAAAGAUUGAAGCUCUCAUGAUGGAGAUGCAGAGCCCUGACACAGGAAUCAAGACACAGACACAGACAGUGACAGUCACCAGCAUCCCCCACGCUGUGACAGGUAAUGAUAUAAUGCAGUGGAUCCUUCAGCGCUUGCAGAUCACUGCAGAAGAGGCACUCCACCUGGGAGACCUGUUUGUCAAAUAUGGAUAUAUCUACCCUCUUCAGGAGCCAAAGAACCUCACCCUGAGGGCAGAUGGCAGCCUCUACAGGUUUCAAACUCCUUAUUUCUGGCCAGUGCAGGGCUGGGCUGCUGAUGACACAGACUAUGCAAUUUAUCUAGCAAAGAAGAACAUUAAAAGGAAAGGGAUUUUGGAAGAAUAUGAAAAGGAACAUUACAACAUGCUCAAUCAAAAAAUAAACUACAAGUGGGAUUUUGUCAUUAUGCAGGCCAAGGAGCAGUAUAAGGCAGGGAAGGAGCGGAAGAAGGAGGACAGGUAUGCCCUGGACUGCCAGGAGAGAGCCUACUGGCUUGUGAACAGAACUCCUCCAGGCAUGCUGAACGCCCUCGAGUAUGGAUUAGACAGAGUCACAGAUCCCAGUGAAAAUAAGAAAAAUACGAUGGAAUUCUAUAGGAGAGAGAUCAUGUACUAUCAGCAGGCCAUCUUGAAGACCAGAGUGAAAUCUUCUGUCUCUCUUGGAGGAGUUGUGAAGUACUCUGAGCAGUUCCUCUCCAAUGAUCCCAUCCUAUCUGGAUGUCUCCCCAGCAACCCUUGGAUAUCAGAUGACCCUGACUUUUGGGAUCUCAAUGCAAAGCUGGUGGAGGUGCCCACCAGGAUGCGCGUGGAGCGAUGGGCCUUCAACUUCAGCGAGCUGAUCCGGGACCCCAAGGGCCGCCAGAACUUCCAGAUCUUCCUGAAGAAGGAGUUCAGCGGAGAGAAUCUGGGUUUCUGGGAAGCCUGUGAGGAUCUCAAGUAUGGAGACCAAUCCAAGGUCAAAGAAAAAGCAGAAGAAAUCUACAAGCUCUUCCUGGCUCCAGGAGCAAGGCGCUGGAUUAACAUUGAUGGCAAAACAAUGGGCAUCACAGUCAAAGGCCUGGAGCACCCUCAUCGUUAUGUUCUAGAUGCUGCUCAGACCCACAUUUACAUGCUGAUGAAAAAGGACUCCUAUGGCCGCUAUUUAAAGUCUCCAAUAUACAAGGAAAUGCUGGCCAAGGCUGUUGUGCCACAAGAGGGUGUCAAAAAAAGCACGGGUUUGUUCGGACGCCGCCACCUCCGCUCCAGCCCCAGCCCCAUCAUCCUGAGGCAGCAGGAGGAAGAGGCCAAAGCCAGGGAAGCCGCCAACACCGUGGACAUCACGCAGGUCAUGAGCAAGCUGGAUCGCAGGAACCAGCUCCAGAAGGAAGCUCCUCCCAAGUAGGCUCUGAGCCCCGCAGGGAAAAGACAAGGCGAGGCUGGUGUUGAGCUUCGUCUCCCCCUCCUGAAGGUGUCAGUGCUGCUUUAGGUUUCCCAGGCCGGCUCUGCCUCCGCCAGCUCCCGCACGUUGCCAUGGCUGCUGGAGAGCAGAUGUCCCUUCCCGGGCAGUGCCAGGCUGCUGCUGUGCCAGGCUCGGGGGGCAGCACCCCGCACACCUCGGAGGGGAGAUGCCUUCUGCUGCCCCCACAGCCCCGGGAGGCUGCAGAGCCCGGCUGCCUGUCCCUGCUGCUCCAGGAGUGGGGUGACACAGGGCAGGGCAGAGCUGUGCCCCAGUGCUGCAGGUUCAGACCAGCUUGCCCUGGUCUGAGGGAGAUGAGCCUGCGGGGAGCAGGGUGAGGUGACCCAGCCCAGAAUGUCCCUGCUGGCCUCCAUCCCCUCGGGGGCUCUGCACCCUCCCAGGGGGUGCACCUGGUACCCCCUGAGAGGAGCACACCCCCACUCCAAGAGUCCUGCACCUCCAGCCAGCACCACAGGCAGAAGAGCUGCUUGUGGCAGCAGUAGCAGGAGCAUUUCUGAAGGUUUAGCUGACCUUCUGAAUUUGAAUGACACUCCCACAUCCCCUGGCACGCUGGAGAUGAUCAGCAGGAAGCUCUGCUCUGCUCUCCCUGUGACUCCUGUGCUGUGAGCUGGGUGUGCAGGUGCAGAGAGCUGCCCCUUGCCAGAGCCAAGACAGAUUUUAGCCAGUCCUUCCCACCUCUUGUCUUGUCUUUUUCCCGCUCUUCUAUUUUCUUUGUUAAAAAUCCAACAGGAGGUAGCUGCAGUUGUCUCUGGCUUGUAGCCCAGAGGCAAGGGAGAACAGGGUACAGGUGUUAAGAGCAGAUUUCAACUUUAGGUAGUAUUUUCAUUUUCAUUUGCUCUGUCUCUUUUGCUCUGUAGAAUAAGGCAAGCUGAAAUACCACAUUAGUGCUAAAGAGCUCAGGGAGAUUCCAGGCCUUGCUGGAAAAGCCCAGUGUGCCUGGAGCAGGCCAGUGGUUACCAGAACUGUGAGGAUUCCUGCAAAGCCUAGUAAAGGGAAUUGAAUGACAAAAAAGCUUCCUUGUUUAGUUAAAAUUUUGGGGAAGCAAAGGAACUGGGUGGAAGCACUGAGGUCUGGAAAGCUGCCUCUCUCCAGUUCACAUUGUUCAUCCCUUUUUAAUAGUGGUAGGACUUUACAGAAAAUGGGAGAUCAUAGAAUCCCAGAAUGGUUUGGAUUCAAAGGGAUCUUAAAGCUCAUCUCAUUCCACCCCCUGCCAUGGGCAGGGACCCCUUCCACUAUCCCAGGGUGCUCAGAGCCACAUCCAGCCUGGCCUUGGACACCCCCAGGGAUGGGGCAGCUUCUGGAGAGAGCUGGCAGGGAAUGGGAGCCCUCAGAUAGUGGGGGGCAUGCAGGCCCCUGGAGCCCUGGGGUCCUUGCAGGGCAACUCCCUGUGGACAGGGGACAGUCAUGCUGUCACUGUGUCCCCAGUAGUGACUCUGGCCCUCCCCAUGGCAGGAUCAGGGCUGGGCAUUCUGAUCUGGUGUGGCUGAGCCAGGGAGGUUGUCCUGCCCUUCCUUACCCCAUCAGUGAUAAACCUCCUCAGAGGAAUUCAAAUUCAACAGGCCUUCCCUCUGAUCUGAUGUCUGUGCUGAGUCUGUUCUCACUCCUGCUGGAAGCACAGGCACAUUCUGCACUGCUGGACAGGGGAGCAGGCUCAGGCUGCCUUUUUUCAAAUUUAAACCCCAAGGCUUUGUUACAUCAGGUGCUGAGCACCCUCAGCAUACUUGGACAUCAGAGCGCUGGAAGACUCUCCAGAACCUGGCAGGGUUGGCCCAAAGCCACUGGGCUGUGAUGAGCUCUAGAGUCUCUGCAGAGUUUGUGUAACAUGGAGCACUGAGCAGGUUGGGAUUGCCAGUAUGUAGUAACAUGUGGAAGAUCAAGUCAGGGUAUAAAUAAUAAAUAACAAAUCUGUGUGUUCUUGUCAGUCCCUCUGAUUCUACUUCUAUUUUGUCUGCUGCUUUGCUUGUUAUGUUCUCUGUAUCCAUGCCUUUCUCUGAUUUUUUAUCAUCUCUGCUUGGCAUCGCUGCUCCCCUGCCAUGGGUUGUGCUGCAUGCUCCAGAGUCACUGUGCUGGUGGAACUGGUGUGGAACACCAGUCAGUGGUGUGGAACACCAGUUACUGCUUGUAGAACACCAGUUAGUGCUUGUGGAACACCAGGUACUGUGUGGAACACCAGUUAGUGCUUGUGGAACACCAGGUACUGUGUGUGGAACACCAGUUAGUGCUUGUGGAACACCAGUCAGUGUUUGUAGAACACCAAUUACUGUGUGUGGAACACCAGUUAGUGCUUGUGGAACACCAGUCAGUGUUUGUAGAACACCAGUCAGUGCUUGUGGAACACCAGUUACUGCUUGUGGAACACCAGUUACUGUGUGUAGAACACCAGUUAGUACGUGUGGAACACUGGGUACUCUGUGUGGAACACCAGGUGCUGUGUGUGGAACACUGUUUUUUGCAUGUGGAAUACCAGCCAGUGCUUGUGGAACACCAGUUACUGUGUGUGGAACACCAGUCAGUGCUUGUGGAACAAACAGCCAUCCUUCACACCCAGGCAGGAGCUGUCUUUGCCCUGCCACAGGCUGAUGGAGCUGUCACAGCCCAGCCUCCUCGUCCUCUGCUGCUCAGUCCCCAAAGAGGAAAAUUGCUUGGUACAAGCUGAACUUCACUUUGUGCCAGCCAAGAAAUUGCUUGUUUCCAUGUGUUAAUUUUUUUUGGCCAUGGCUUCCAUGCAUUCAUCUGUCUAAUAAAAAUAAAUGUAGAAAACAGAAAAA